ACCAGAUAUGAAGGUGUUUCUCAUCUUAGCUCUGUCUGUGUUUGGCUGUGUCAUGGCGGCCCCGAGCUGUCCGCCUGGCACCUCAUUCGUCUACUGUUUCAUUGAUCCGUGUAUGAUGGCCAAAUGUCCGGGUCACCCUGACGCCCAGUGCAGGGCAAACUACUGCGGCGGCUGUAACUAUGACUUCUAUGUGGAUGGAAAGAAGCUGGCGAAGUUUAGCUGUGGAGUUUAAAACGGAAGCCUGGCCAAACCCAAUCCGGAAGAUGGGGACCAACUUGCUCUCAUUUAUCAUUAAUACAGGAAUAAUAAAG